UACGUAGGGGGCUAGCGUUGUCCGGAUUUACUGGGCGUAAAGGGCGCGUAGGCGGCCACCGCAAGUCAGUUGUGAAAGCUCUGGGCUUAACCCAGAAAGGUCAACUGAUACUGCGGGGCUAGAGUGCAGAAGGGGCAACUGGAAUUCUCGGUGUAGCGGUGAAAUGCGUAGAUAUCGAGAGGAACACCUGCGGCGAAGGCGGGUUGCUGGGCUGACACUGACGCUGAAGUGCGAAAGCUAGGGGAGCGAACGGG
rnacentral:rRNA from 1 species